rnacentral:ncRNA from 1 species
CUCGUUGUGCGACCAACGAUAGCCUACGAAGACAUGCGUCACUGGUAACGGUGGGGUGUGGAGCUCUUCCUACAAUGUAGCCCCCGUUAGGGUGCACUCUCGCCGCGAGGCAGGAGUGUGGAUGCUCGGAGCAGUACCGGGUUGAGGCG